rnacentral:rRNA from 1 species
GACGAACGCUGGCGGCGUGCUUAACACAUGCAAGUCGAGCGGUAAGGCCCCUUCGGGGGUACACGAGCGGCGAACGGGUGAGUAACACGUGAGCAAUCUGCCCAUCACAUCGGGAUAACUCCGGGAAACCGAAGCUAAUACCGAAUACGACCACCUCCGGCAUCGGAUGGUGGUGGAAAGUUCCGGCGGUGAUGGAUGAGCUCGCGGCCUAUCAGCUUGUUGGUGGGGUAACGGCCCACCAAGGCUUCGACGGGUAGCCGGCCUGAGAGGGUGACCGGCCACACUGGGACUGAGACACGGCCCAGACUCCUACGGGAGGCAACAGUGGGGAAUAUUGGACAAUGGGCGAAAGCCUGAUCCAGCAACGCCGCGUGAGGGAUGACGGCCUUCGGGUUGUAAACCUCUUUCAGCAGGGACGAAGCGCAAGUGACGGUACCUGCAGAAGAAGCACCGGCCAACUACGU